rnacentral:rRNA from 1 species
UACGUAGGGUGCAAGCGUUAAUCGGAAUUACUGGGCGUAAAGCGUGCGCAGGCGGUUUUGUAAGCCAGAUGUGAAAUCCCCGGGCUUAACCUGGGAAUGGCAUUUGGGGACUGCAAGGCUGGAGUUUGGCAGAGGAGACUGGAAUUCCUGGUGUAGCAGUGAAAUGCGUAGAUAUCAGGAGGAAUACCGAUGGCGAAGGCAGGUCUCUGGGC